AACGUAGGACGCAAACGUUAUCCGGAAUUACUGGGCGCAAAGGGCGCGCAGGCGGUUUGAUAAGGGAGGCAUGAAAGCCCCAUGGCUAAACCUGGGGAGGUUGUCUGAGACUGUCUGACUGGAGUGAGAUAGAGGGGUGUAGAAUUCCGCGUGUAGUGGUAAAAAGCGUAGAGAUGCGGAGGAAUACCAGAGGCGAAGGAGGCACCCUGGAUCGUAACCUACGCUGAGGCGCGAAAGCAUGGGUAGCGAACGGG
rnacentral:rRNA from 1 species